rnacentral:rRNA from 1 species
UACGUAGGGUGCAAGCGUUAAUCGGAAUUACUGGGCGUAAAGCGUGCGCAGGCGGUUUUGUAAGUCAGAUGUGAAAUCCCCGGGCUUAACCUGGGAACUGCGUUUGAAACUACAAGGCUAGAGUGUGGCAGAGGGGGGUGGAAUUCCACGUGUAGCAGUGAAAUGCGUAGAGAUGUGGAGGAACACCGAUGGCGAAGACAGCCCCCUGGGUUAACACUGACGCUCAGGCACGAAAGCGUGGGGAGCAAACAGG